AUGGAUUGGCGCUCCCGGGCUCCAGCCUGCCCAUUCACCCUGCAUGUGGUGUUGGACUUAAGCUCCAAAACUGUUUCAGAUUUUAUUGCUCCUGCUUCAUUAUGUCAAAGCCACGUGAUGAUAUCACACCUGGUGCAGAACAGCCCUGAUGGUUCUGGAAGCACCACGGUCCGACCCGUCCUGACAGAUGACCCAGUCAUGAAAUGCUGGCGCAGGUGUGGAUCGAGCCAUCCUCUCUCUCUCUUCACUGUCUGGAAUCAAGACCCUGAAGUCCAGAUGGCCAAGGACUGUUCCAGCCCUUACCGACAGGCGGAAGUCGGGACACAGGGCCUGGCUGGCACCCCGUUCUCCAGACCACGCUGCCCUCCACCGCUGGGUCCCAGGACCCAGAUGUGGGUGGAUCUUUGUUUCUGACUUGGGUUCGUUCCUUUAUAAGAACCGCAAAUCCUUUGUCCUCACGCUACUUGUUAGGACUGACAGCAUUCCUGACUGUGGUGUGUGUGCUGUUAUCAACAGGUUCCAAAGCUUAUCCUUGAGGCUCACAGUCUCAGAGUUGAAGAGGCCCUGGCAGGCACGGGCCAGCCUUGUCUGGUAAGUGCCUAGGCCCUUGAGACCACCUCAUGCCCUCAUGGACAGAGACAAAUUAAAAAUAGAGACUUGAUUCUCCUGAUUGAAAAGAAGGGAAGAGAUUUUCUCUCCCUUUUCUCUGAACAUCUACUUUUUUUUUUGAAAUGGAGUCUCACUUUGUAGCCCAGACUGGAGUGCAGUGGUGCAAUCUCGGCUCACCACAUCCUCCACCUUCUGGGUUCAAGAGAUACUCCUGCCUCAGCCUCCUAAGUAGCUGGGAUUACAGGUGUGCGCCACUGUGCCUGGCUAAUUUUUUUGUAUUUCUAGUACAGUGGGGGUUUCACCAUGUUGGCAAGGCUGGUCUUGAACUCCUGACCUCUGGUGAUCUGCCUGGCUUGGCCUCCCAAAGUGCUGGAAUUAUAGGCGUGAGCCACCACACCCGGACCUGAGCAUUUACUUUUGAGAGCUUCUAUUUCAAGUGCUUUCUUCCCUGUUUGAAAUGUAUGUACAUCGUUUUGAAGACUAGACUGGUAGUUUCUGGCCUUGUGACCUAGCAUGUCUUUCUCAAGGACCUGGAAGCCCAUUUUGAACUGUAGACAUCAAGGGUGAUGGCAUCCCCGUCUCUGCUUUCAGGGGGAAGCCAAGAGCCUAACUCAGUGCAUCUUGCUUCAAGUUGCAAAACGGCCUCCUGUUAAUGUUAUGGAGAUAGGAGUUUAUUCUUCUUCUAGACACAGGCAAUUAACAAACACAGAUUGUAAUGCCAAUGACCAGGUGGCCACGGAGUCAACAGUUUGUGACAAAUGGCACUGUCAGGGUCUCUUCCUUAAGGAGUGGUUAUUGUUUAUGUUGAAAACACGCGUGCAGUGAGUUGUAGCUGCUCCAGUCUUUAAAAGAAUGCGAUCCUUUCUUUGCAAUCUCUUAGCCUUGCCCGAGAUGCAUAUCACCUUCUGGCUUAAUGGUUAUUCAAUAAUAAAACUUCUCUUUCUCUUCCACCUUUGUGGAGAGGUUUUCUGGGUUGGGAGCACAUUCUAUUUUUAAUUAUAUUUCCCCGGUAAUGGCCUUACUUACAUCUAAUGACAAUACAUCAUGGAUACUUAAAAUACUCUCUGGUUCUAGAAGGCAUUCCCACACAUUAAUUCAUUUGGUUUUUAUAAAACCAGGAGGCAUUGAAACACCACUAAAUUAGAAGGGAUCACUAUUCCAUUUCAGUCAUUUCCCGUUUAGGAAACAGUGGCGCCAAGAGGAGAAAUGCCACCCACGGGACCCUGUCUGGGUGUUGGCAGAACAAGGACUGACCGAGGGCAUCUGGCUCUGAGUCCAGGGCCUUCCGCAGGUUUCACUGUGAGGCAUGCGGAGUCUGAAAACAUACUGGCACAUGUGUGUCUACAGCCUCCCUGGUCUUAGAUACGCCUUUGCCGUGUUACAGAAGCAUCUCUGAGGGCCCUGGCACCUCUUCUGGGAGUUUCUGUUGUCUCCUUACCUUCUGAUCUCUCUGGCUCCAGAGCGAGAAAGCAGCAUGCCUGCCCCUCUCUUCGAGGCUCGGAGACGAAGUCCUGACCCAGGCUGCACCCUCACUUUCCAUCCAACCCAGCAGCUGUUGCCCGUGGAGGAAGGGCAGUAGUCUCCAAAGUGGAAUGUGAAAAGAGAAGAGUCAUCCAGGCUGUGAUCAGAAAGUCGAGCUUCUGCAAAGGCAAACAGAAACAGAAAAAAGACAAGGGCACGUGUUUAUGUGAGGGAGAGGUUCGAGGAGCAAAACAGAGGAGGCCCAGAGAACUCUCCAGAAGGGUCUGAAGGCUGCCGUGUGCAGGAGUGGCCCUCAGCAUCCAGUGUCG
rnacentral:lncRNA from 1 species